rnacentral:lncRNA from 1 species
UGAUGAUUGUUUUAUAUUAAUAUACUUAUAGUUUUUAUAAAUUGAUAUUUUUCAUAACCAGUAGUUGAUCCAAGUGCACUGAAGUCAUUGUUUAUUAUUUUAUUGGUUGUUUGUUGAGUUGAGCAGAAGGAUUGGCAAAAACAAAGACAAUUUUUAUUUGUAUUUUGACAUAUACCUCCACAGGUUAAAUAGUAAAGUUAAAAUGUGAUUAUGUAUACUUUUCUUAGCUUAAGGAUGUACUUAGGACUAGGUGAUCUUAGGUAAAAUUAAAUAAAUCAAAAUAAGCUCAAAAUAUUGAUCGGUCAUGGAGCUCCUUUUCGAGAUAUUUUUUAUUUAAAAUAUGGCAGGACAAGGCUGACUCGUACUUUUACCUUAUAUUUGCAUUGGUAUUAUUUGGGUCACAAAUCAAAAGAAAGAAAAUCAAGAAUCUGCUAAAAUUUUGUCAAAUGGACCGUUAUGGGCUAUUAAGUCUUAUAUUAAAAGAUAAAUAGGUGUUAUGGGGCAAAAUAUUUCACCUGAUAUUGUAUGGAAAAACACCAAGGAGUCCCAAUAUUUGACUAGCUGAAAAUUGAAUAUAAAUACAAUAUUGAAGGACCUUCAUGUCAAAUCAGAAGUGGGUGGUCCCUAGAAGAUUUAAGGCAGGGGAUAUCCCCUAGAAGAUCUACGAGUUUUUAUGUGAAAAAUUCUGCAUUCUGAUGUUUUUCUUGUAAAUGCCCAAAACAAUCUUAAGACUGAAAAAAAAUUCUGAACAAAAAGUUCUGCAUAGCAUACAUAUAGACAAUAUAUUCAAUGACUCAUCAGUGGUCCUGAUCCAAUGACUCAUUGGGG